GACAAGAGCUUAAUACUAUGCUGAAAGUACCGGUUCUCGUACGAUCACCGAAAUCAAGCAGCAUCGGGCGCGGUCAGUACUUCGGAGGGUGACCACCUGGGAACACCGCGUGCUGUUGACA
rnacentral:rRNA from 1 species